UACGUAGGGGGCAAGCGUUGUCCGGAAUUAUUGGGCGUAAAGCGCGUGUAGGCGGCUCGGUAAGUCUGCUGUGAAAGUCCAGGGCUCAACCCUGGAACGCCGGUGGAUACUGUCGAGCUCGAGUCCGGAAGAGGCGAGUGGAAUUCCUGGUGUAGCGGUGAAAUGCGCAGAUAUCAGGAGGAACACCAAUGGCGAAGGCAGCUCGCUGGGACGGUACUGACGCUAAGACGCGAAAGCGUGGGGAGCAAACAGG
rnacentral:rRNA from 1 species